UUUUAAAGUAUAAAAAUAGAAUGAUCCAUUAAAAAUGAAAACAUCAAUACAAUUAUCCAAUGUGUGUUUAUUUUUAGCUUUAACUUUGUUCAUUUUCAUGAAUCUAACAGGAUACUCUCAAUAGAACAACUACACAAUGGCAGGAGCCGAGCUCAGUGGUGCUGGAGAUUUUUGAGAUAUUUCUGAAAUACACCAGUCAGCAAUGGAAUGGACAGCGAAAUCCCGCGAGGCUUUGAAAGCCACAGAUGUCUGAGACAGACACAAGAUCUACCCUUACCACUUCAAAGUGAUGUGAUUAGCAGGCGUCCGCGCAGCCAAGAAUCAAACCCACCUCUGCCAUAUGCUCAACAACCACAUGACCUUGCCCGCAGGAUGGCCGUGAUUUGCAUGAAAUGUCACAGGACACCACAGAGGGACUAGAAUAUCAAGUUGGCCCAUUGAGAAAGACGCCAAAACGCCUUUUGUGAUGUGCACUUGGAAAUCACGGUCGCUCACCGGAGAGCUCUCGUCCGUGCUUGCUCUGACCCCAUGAGUGAGGACUGGUGGUGUCAGAAGCCCGAUUUCCCAUGUGAAGGUCCUCCGACUGCCUAUAACAAAAGAUUAAGAGCGAGAUGUCCAGCUGGGUCCGCACUUGAUCGCACUGGCUUUUCAGCUUUGGAAGGAAAUAAAGCUGCUGGUUGCAGAAAAGGGCUCUGGUAGGUUCCUACAGCUUCAAGACGCUCUUCUCUCUGACUUCCACACUGAGGAUGUAAGAAAACCUGGCUGGACCAUGGGUUUUGCUAGUUACUAUAUUGAUGAGAUUUGCUGUGAUUUCAGGAUAGAGUAAAAGAUUGUUUUCCACGGUAUGCUAGCAAGUCCUAUUCCUGAUCAGUUUUACGUGGUCUUGGAGAAAACAGAUGAUUCAGGUAACCUGGGAUAGAAAAACGAUUCACAGAAAAGCAGGAGCAUGAUUUGAUUUCCAUCUCUGAAAAACUUUUUAAUCUUUAAUUGCUUUUUGAGACACAGAGCGUGAGCAGGGGAGGGGCGGAGAGAGAGGAGACGCAGGACCCGAAGCAGGCUCCAGGCUCGGAG